rnacentral:rRNA from 1 species
UACGUAGGGAGCAAGCGUUGUCCGGAAUCAUUGGGCGUAAAGAGCGUGUAGGCGGCCCGAUUAGUCCGCUGUGAAAGUUCAGGGCUCAACCCUGGAAUGCCGGUAGAUACUGUCGGGCUAGAGUCCGGAAGGGGCGAGUGGAAUUCCUGGUGUAGCGGUGAAAUGCUUAGAUAUGACAUAGAACACCAAUUGCGAAGGCAGCUGGCUACAGGGAUAUUGACACUGAGGCACGAAAGCGUGGGGAGCGAACAGG